rnacentral:rRNA from 1 species
UACGUAGGGGGCAAGCGUUGUCCGGAUUUAUUGGGCGUAAAGAGCGUGUAGGCGGCCAGGUAGGUCAGCUGUGAAAACUCGAGGCUCAACCUCGAGACGUCGGUUGAAACCACCUGGCUAGAGUCCGGAAGAGGAGAGUGGAAUUCCUGGUGUAGCGGUGAAAUGCGCAGAUAUCAGGAAGAACACCCGUGGCGAAGGCGGUCUGCUGGGCAGUAGCUGACACUGAGGCGCGACAGCGUGGGGAGCAAACAGG